rnacentral:misc_RNA from 1 species
UCCGGUUUGUCACCGGCAGUCUCAUUAGAGUGCCCAACUGAAUGUAGCAACUAAUGACAAGGGUUGCGCUCGUUGCGGGACUUAACCCAACAUCUCACGACACGAGCUGACGACGGCCAUGCAGCACCUGUGUUCAAGUUCUCUUUCGAGCACUUCCACAUCUCUGCGAAAUUCUUGACAUGUCAAGGGUAGGUAAGGUUUUUCGCGUUGCAUCGAAUUAAUCCACAUAAUCCACCGCUUGUGCGGGUCCCCGUCAAUUCCUUUGAGUUUAAGCCUUGCGGCCGUACUCCCCAGGCGGUCAACUUCACGCGUUAGCUUCGUUACCAAGGAAUUACUUCCCCGACAACCAGUUGACAUCGUUUAAGGCUAGGACUAC